AAGUUUGAGGUUGUAGUAGUGGUAAUUGCUGCUAAUUGGUGAAACAUAAGUUUGAGGUUGUAGUAGUAGUAGUAAUUGUUGCUAAGUAGUAAAACAUAAGUUUGAGGUUGUAGUAGUAGUAGUAGUAAUUGUUGCUAAGUGGUAAAACAUAAGUUUGAGGUUGUAGUAGUAGUAGUAAUUGUUGCUAAGUGAUAAAAUAUAAGUUUGAGGUUGUAGUAGUAGUAGUAAUUAUUGUUAAGUAGUAAAACAUAAGUUUGAGGUUGUAGUAGUAGUAGUAGUAAUUGUUGCUAAAUGGCAAAAUAUAAGUUUGAGGUUGUAGUAGUAGUAGUAAUUGUUGCUAAGUGAUAAAACAUAAGUUUGAGGUUGUAGUAGUAGUAAUUGCUGCUAACUAGUGAAACAUAAGUUUGAGGUUGUAGUAGUAGUAGUAAUUGUUGCUAAGUGGUAAAACAUAAGUUUGAGGUUGUAGUAGUAGUAGUAAUUAUUGUUAAGUAGUAAAACAUAAGUUUGAGGUUGUAGUAGUAGUAGUAGUAAUUGUUGCUAAAUGGUAAAAUACAAGUUUGAGGUUGUAGUAGUAGUAGUAAUUGUUGCUAAGUGAUAAAACAUAAGUUUGAGGUUGUAGUAGUAGUAAUUGCUGCUAACUAGUGAAACAUAAGUUUGAGGUUGUAGUAGUGGUAAUUGCUGCUAAUUAGUGAAACAUAAGUUUGAGGUUAUAGUAGUAGUAGUAAUUGUUGCUAAGUGAUAAAAUAUAAGUUUGAGGUUGUAGUAGUAGUAGUAAUUAUUGUUAAGUAGUAAAACAUAAGUUUGAGGUUGUAGUAGUAGUAGUAGUAAUUGUUGCUAAAUGGUAAAAUAUAAGUUUGAGGUUGUAGUAGUAGUAGUAAUUGUUGCUAACUAGUGAAACAUAAGUUUGAGGUUGUAGUAGUAGUAAUUGCUGCUAACUAGUGAAACAUAAGUUUGAGGUUGUAGUAGUGGUAAUUGCUGCUAAUUAGUGAAACAUAAGUUUGAGGUUGUAGUAGUAGUAGUAAUUGUUGCUAAGUGGUAAAACAUAAGUUUGAGAUUGUAGUAGUAGUAGUAAUUAUUGCUAAGUGGUAAAACAUAAGUUUGAGGUUGUAGUAGUGGUAAUUGCUGCUAAUUGGUGAACAUUAUAGACUAUAUUAGAUUAUUAUGUCCAUUUAUAUGAUGGUGAUCAAUUUUAUGAUGAGAAAGUAUUUGUAGUCUACUACAACUAUGUUCCACAUAUAUAAGAGUUGAACUUUAGGAUACAAAAUUAUAAUUAAAUCUUAUAUUACAGAUGCUAUUAUAAUUGAUUAUCAUUUUGUAUCACUUAAUAUUAUAAUUAAAGUUUAGGAUACAAU
rnacentral:lncRNA from 1 species